UUCUGCUCUGGCUAUGGGAAUAAGAACUAUUUCCACAAAUGGAUUAGCUCCAAGGAUUAUCCCUCUAAUCUUUUUGGCUGUUCUUUCCCCAGCCUCAGGUAUUUUUUUCCUCCUGCAUGUGUUGAUCAGUACUCAGUGAAAGACUCCAGAGGGAAACUCUUCAGGUCUCUGGGGAUCUUUCUUUUUUCAGCCCCAGUACUGCUACUCGUAGACUCUAGCAACCAUGGCCCCCUGAGAAUCCUAGAUCAGGAAGUCUCUUCAACUCAGGGUGAUCAAUGAGAUUGGCCUGCAUUUCUUCACCCUACACCAUGACUGGAAACCCUGUAGGGCCUGACUUUCCUGUUGGAAUGUGAAAAGAAAUGGGUUUUGAUUCCAUUGACAUUGGAUAAAUUCCAACAAAUCAUGCUAGGAUUGGAGCUACCAUGUUCAAAAGGUCUUGGCAGUGCCUGAAAGUAAAGCCCAAAGGAUGCUGACCUGUCAUGGAAGUAUUGAGAAGGGAGCAGAUACUCACCUUACAUGAGAGUACGUGCAUCUAAGUAGCAAUGUGGCUUUAUCCAACUCUGCUUUGACUCAAGAUCUUUACUUGGAUCACUUGAGUUGCUUUCUUGAACAUGACUAUUGGAACUCAUGACAUUCUAGUUGAAAGUCUUGUUAUCACUUGCAUAUCCUGUAUAGUAGUCCUCCCUUAUCUGUGAGGAAUAUGUUCCAAGACCACCAACUGGGACCUGAAAUCAAGAAUAGUACUGAACCCUAUAUUUACUAUGGUUUUUCCAAUAUAUACAUAACCUGUGAUAAAGCUUAAUUCAUAAAUUAGGCACCAUAAGAAAUAACAAUAAGAAGCUUUACUGUAAUAUACUGUAAUAAAUGUCACAAGAAUGUGAUCUCUUUCUUUCAAAAGAGAGUGCUUUUACUUCUUCACAUAAAAGAAGUACUUUAUGGCUUCUCUUUAGCAUAUCCACAUUGCCAACAUCAUUACUCUUCCAUUUUGGGGGCCAUUAUUAAGUAAAAUAAGGGUUACUUGAAUAUAACCUCAACACUAGACCUGAUAAUCAAGAUGGCUACUAAGUGUCUAACGGGCAGGUAUCAUAUACAAUGUGAAUACACUGGAACAUGGGAGAUUCAUACUCCUAGCAGGGUAGAGCAGGACAGUAUGAAAUUUUAUCA